ACUCUGUGCGCACAAUGUAGAGGAUGUGGAUGGCGAUGCUGUUGAGAGCAUAUGCAUUGACUGUGGGCUUCACGAACGUCAAGAAGAUGACUUGGUGUGCCUGCUCUACCUGUUCCCCUUGACGAACUUGGGAAAAUAGCAACGGGGCAGCCACACACUGUAUCCACUGGCCAACAACCACAGGAUGGAGAUCUCAUCCAGCAGCUGUCCCAGAAAGCUGAGUGUCAUGUGGAAAUACAUGGAGAACAGACCUGUAGGAAGGCAGACGCAAGUAGAGGCCGUCAAGGGGAGGGAGCAUUUCCAGCACACUUCCCCAGCCUCAAACACGCACACCUACCUAUGAGCAUGAAGAGGACUGACACUCCAUAGAAACACCGGGUACGCUUCUGGGCAUACGGAUGCAUGAGGAACAUCAUGAGGGGUCCAAAGAUGAGGAAGAACACAUUGCUGAACUGCAGGAGAAACAAGAACAGAGCUAGUAAGACAAGAGCUGGUGGGAGCUCCUGCCCACCUAGGGCUCAUUCCUAAGUACCCCAUCGCAUGGGCUGUCCAGGAAUGAACCAAGAUUUGUCCAUCAUUCAACUGUAAGUUUCCCAGUCAUCUUAGUCUGAUCCCCAGACUCAUUUUAUUUUUCUUG
rnacentral:lncRNA from 1 species